GAGUUUGAUCAUGGCUCAGGAUGAACGCUAGCGGCAGGCUUAAUACAUGCAAGUCGAGGGGCAGCAGGACUGUAGCAAUACAGUUGCUGGCGACCGGCAAACGGGUGCGGAACACGUACACAACCUUCCGAUAAGUGGGGAAUAGCCCAGAGAAAUUUGGAUUAAUACCCCGUAACAUAUAGAGUAGGCAUCUUCUUUAUAUUAUAGCUUCGGCGCUUAUUGAUGGGUGUGCGUCUGAUUAGGUAGUUGGCGGGGUAACGGCCCACCAAGCCUACGAUCAGUAGCUGAUGUGAGAGCAUGAUCAGCCACACGGGCACUGAGACACGGGCCCGACUCCUACGGGAGGCAGCAGUAAGGAAUAUUGGACAAUGGGCGAAAGCCUGAUCCAGCCAUGCCGCGUGAAGGAUUAAGGUCCUCUGGAUUGUAAACUUCUUUUAUUGGGACGAAAAAAGGGAUUCUUUCCACUUGACGGUACCAAGUGAAUAAGCACCGGCUAACUCCGUGCCAGCA
rnacentral:rRNA from 1 species